CACUUCCAAAUACUGAAGCCCAGAGGACACUCCCUGGAGGAGUCGGGGCAGGAAGGGUCUCAGCCUGCCAUGAGCAUGCGUGGCUUGCCUCCUCACUGCGGCCUACACUGGCCUGAAGCCUGACCUCCUCCUGCCUAAGAGACGGUGCUCAGCGGCAGGGCUCUUGUUGGCCUUUGAGAGGCCCUGGUUCCCAUCACUAGAACUAAAAAAUACCGAUGAAACUGCUUCAGAAUGACCAGAGCUACACAGGCAGAGCCAUGGAACCCGAGUAACCCAGAGCACUGUGAAAUGCCUAACCUGGAAGGAAGCAGAGUCAGCUCCCCUGGGAACUUGAGAUAGCUCCAUCAUCACAGAGAGGAGUUAGAAUCUCAGGAGGCAGCCCACUCUAUCUGCCAGCAACCUCACCCCAAAUACAGCUGCCUUCACUUUUUCACUCCUAAAUACUGAUCUGAAAGAAAGAAUUCUGUUGGCAAACUAGUAAUGUAAACUGAUUAUGUAAACCUUCUAAAUAAAAAACAGAAAUUACUUCAA